rnacentral:sRNA from 1 species
AAAAACCAAGCUUCUUCAUGAUUCUCAAAGCUUUGAUGGUGAACCCGAAGUUCUUAACAGUUUUUGGUUUUGAAUCGUAUAACAAGGAAGCACUACUUUACUCUUCCGGAUCUAGUUGAGGUUCUAGUUUUAUAUUCAAUCAUACACAUAACAUCUAGUCAUAUUUAACUGUGAAACGCUAACCUAGAUUAUUUUUGCUUCUUAAAGUAUUAAAUAUAUUUGCUCCUAAACACUAAACAUAAACCCUACACCCUAAAUCCCAAACCCUAAAAUCUAAUCCCUAAACCCUAAACCCUAAAUCCUAACGCUAAACCUUAAACCGUAAACCCUAACUCUAAACCCUAAACCUUAAAACCUAAACCCUAAACGCAAAACCUUAACCUUA